ACACUGAAGCAAAGGCUGGAUGAUUUGUCAGAGCUGUCAGGAGCGAGCAGAUGUGGCAAAGAGACCGGGCAGGGAGGCUGAGUGUGGUCUCCCUGGGACAGGACAGAGCAGUGGUUACCAGCUGUGCUCAGGAACUGCCUGCUCCCCUGCAGUGGGAGCAGCUGGACAGGGAAUUUGACCCAGGGAGGAAAGGGAGGGCAAGGCAGGGAAAAAGAUGCAAUUUUGAGGAAGAAGCUAAUUUUAUAAUAAUGUAAAUUUUCCCAAUGAAUAUCUAGGUAAAAUGCCUAGAAAUAGUUGGAAAUACAAAUCUAGAGCUAAAUAAUUCUGUUAAUUUAUAAACUUAAUGCCAACAUUCACUAGUAAUAGAAUAAGGAUUUUGUUUAGAAUAACUCAAUUUGUAAAUACCAGUUCAUCAUGUAAUUCACCCCUCUCCCCAGCAAAACACAAAGGGAAGCUCUAGAAAACUUGAACAGGGAGAGCAGUAGAGAACACCCGUGUGAACUGAAAGGAAAACUACUUAAUUCUAAUCUGAACAUCCGUGUAAUUUUAAGAAUACUGGAGCCAGAUAUGGGCAUCAGAAAAAUGGCAAAUUAUUAUGUGUCUGAGACCUUCAGGAUUCUUCCUGAAGAUGCAAAAUGGCAGUUGUUAAAAUCAUUUAAAAAUGUAAAAAUCUUCAUACUCAGGGAUGACUGAGGAAGUCAAAUCCGUGGAGAAAUAGACCAGGAAGAAUUUACAGAAUAUGAAGUUUAUAAGGAAGAGAAGAAAAACUCAACAUAUUCAUUCAUAUUCUAGAAUGCGACCCAAUUUUUGUAAGUAAAUAUGAACCACUACAUGCAGGAGGCAUUGACUUGACACGCAAGACAUGUUGUGGACACUAUGGAUGUGUGUCCACUGCCCUAAUCCAUGCAAAAACCUCCUGAAGUGGGUAUUUCCGUUACCAGCUCUUCUGAGAUGAGGGGACCGAGGCCCAGGAGCGUCAAAGAUCACGGCAGCGAGGAGCCAGGGUUUGAACCAGGCAGAGCCAUGUAAUUGCCCUGCCAGUAACAGUGCGCCAUCCUGCCUCCCUCACUCCACCAAAGGAGCUCCAAAUUACCAGGCAAAGGUGCAGGGCAGCAUGUGGGCAAAUGGACAAGCAUUAGUUAGGAAAUUGGGGCUUAGGAGGUCUGUGUUCUGCAGAUAGUUCCGUUACAGAACUGCUUUAUGCCUGGUCUGCAACCUGAGCCGACUCGGAGAGCAAAUAACCUCAGGGCUAGAAUGUGAGUAGAGAGAAUGAAAAGUCCAAAGGUCAACAAGCCCAGAGCAGAAUCCAGGAAGUGUGAUAUUUUACUUUGUAGAGGAGGCAUUAGCCCCAGUGACUUCCCAAAGGUCUGCUCCUGUGGAAAGAGAGCCCCAUGACAGACUUCUCCCUCCUUGUACCCUGGGGGAAAGUAGUGGGACAGGGCUGUGGGAGGGAAAGUCUGCCAAUCAUUUGGCUCAAGCCCACUAAGAUUUAACAGGCAGCCAGCUCUUUGCCUCUUGUUGCUGUGUGUGAUCUGCUCUCUGGCAUGCUCUGAACAUAGGCCUGUUUUCCCUUCGUUGUACCAAGGAGAUCUUGUUGAUCAGUUUGUAUGAACGUUAAAGGAAAUGAUCACCCCUUUAAAAGAUAUUUAUUUAUUUAUUUAAAAGAGUAGAAGGAGAGGAAGAGCGAGAACCUCCAACCACUGGUUCACUCCCCAGAUGGCCGCAACGGCCAGAGCUGUGCCGAUCUGAAGCCAGGAGCCAAGAGACAGGAGCUUCUUCCGGGUCUCCCACAUGGGGCAGGGGCCCAAGGACUUGGGCCAUCUUCCACUGCUUUCCCAGGCCAUAGCAGAGAGCUGGAUCGGAAGUGGAGCAGCCGAAACUAGAACUGGCUCCCAUAUGGGAUGCCGGCACUGCAGGUCGUGGCUUUACCCACUAAGCCGCAGCGCCGGCCACUCACCCUUUUUCAUAAAUGGGUUUAACUGACUUUGUGACUUAGUUAUUGCCAAAUCAUUGCAGAAGAAGAUGGAGGAGCAUCCAUUUUUGUAACAAACAUUCACUUCCAAUAAAGGGCGGCAUGUGGGAGAAUGGACUCUGGAG
rnacentral:lncRNA from 1 species